rnacentral:rRNA from 1 species
GACUCAACACGGGGAAACUCACCAGGUCCAGACACAAUAAGGAUUGACAGAUUGAGAGCUCUUUCUUGAUUUUGUGGGUGGUGGUGCAUGACCGUUCUUAGUUGGUGGAGUGAUUUGUCUGCUUAAUUGCGAUAACGAACGAGACCUUAACCUGCUAAAUAGCCAGGCCCGCUUUGGCGGGUCGCCGGCUUCUUAGAGGGACUAUCGGCUCAAGCCGAUGGAAGUUUGAGGCAAUAACAGGUCUGUGAUGCCCUUAGAUGUUCUGGGCCGCACGCGCGCUACACUGACAGAGCCAACGAGUUCAUUUCCUUGCCCGAAAGGUCUGGGUAAUCUUGUUAAACUCUGUCGUGCUGGGGAUAGAGCAUUGCACUUAUUGCUCUUCAACGAGGAAUGCCUAGUAAGCGCAUGUCAUCAGCAUGCGUUGAUUACGUCCCUGCCCUUUGUACACACCGCCCGUCGCUACUACCGAUUGAAUGGCUCGGUGAGGCCUUCGGACUGGCCCAGGGAGGUCGGCAACGACCACCCAGGGCCGGAAAGUUGGUCAAACCCGGUCAUUUAGAGGAAGUAAAAGUCGUAACAAGGUUU